GGAGAGGUCGCAUAGUGGUUUAGUGCACCGGUCUUGAAAACCGGAGUACCGAUAAGGUACCGUGGGUUCGAAUCCCACCCUCUCCGCCA
rnacentral:tRNA from 1 species